GACCCACAAACCCUUUUGUUCUUGUUCUCCAUUGGGAGAGGAAGUAAAGAUUUGCCAUCUGAGGAUGGUUCCUUUCUCCAGGAGGGCACCAUAAGAAGAGAGGGCAGAGCCCUGACAUCUGGGUCAUAGGCAAGUUGAUCUUUGGUUUUAUAUAAAUACCAUCUGGGGUGUUGGACUGUGUUGUUUAAAAAGUUUGAGAUAAAUCAUUUCUGGGUAAUUUAAUCAUUUUAUUAAUAAUGCCAGCAUUUUAAUAAAAAGAUAGUCAUUUGGC
rnacentral:lncRNA from 1 species